UACGUAGGGUGCAAGCGUUGUCCGGAAUUAUUGGGCGUAAAGAGCUCGUAGGCGGUCUGUCGCGUCGGCUGUGAAAUCCCGGAGCUCAACUCCGGGUCUGCAGUCGAUACGGGCAAACUGGAGUACUGCAGGGGAGACUGGAAUUCCUGGUGUAGCGGUGAAAUGCGCAGAUAUCAGGAAGAACACCCGUGGCGAAGGCGGCUCUCUGGGACGGUACUGACGCUGAGACGCGAAAGCGUGGGGAGCGAACAGG
rnacentral:rRNA from 1 species